ACCCCCUAAUGAGAAGAUUUUUGACCAUAGACCAAAAAUUUCCUCUCAUUUCUCUCAUUUUUUUCACUCUCUCUGUCUCGGUUUUUCUCUCUGUCUCUGAGACGAUUUUCUCCGCAACUUUACCUCAAACCCUAACUUCAUCUCGAAUCCAACUUCACCUCUAACCCUAACUUCAUCUCAAACUCCGAUCGAUAUCUCAAGGAACCCAACUUCACCUCAAUCUCCAAUACCAAACCCUAGCUUCAACUACGCCGAUUUACAUCUUAACUCAAAUUCAGGGAACUUGGAUUGUGGUUUUUUUACAGUUGAAACAUAGGCAUGUGAAGCUCACUGGGACAAAUAAGAGACAGAUCUAGCUAUUGAACAUCAUUUCUCAGAAAAUAUGAGAGUUUCCAAAGGAAUUGAAGCAUGGUGUUCUGGUAAAACUGAAGAAGACGAAGACAACUAUCCCAUCUUGGCAGUGGAACUGAUAUCUACAAGAUGCUUGUGAAGUACCUACAAUAUCACUCUUAGUCAUCAUUACUCAAUGCUUUUUUCAAUAUUGCAUCUGGUAGCAGAAGUAAAGAGUUUACAUCUUUUGAUGUCUUCCACAUCUCCAAGAUAAUACAACAAACUUGAAUCCAAAAGUUUCUGACGGCAAACGAGAAUUUUUGGGUAUCUUAUUAUUCCAAGUACUUUCAGCAUUCUAUAGAGAAAUCUUCAUCCGUUUCUUGUCGGCCAUUUUAACAGUAUGUUGUACGAAUUUAUCGAAUAUUGAGGAACUAAUAGCUCCCUCCUAAAUUGCACUGAAAAUUUAUGUACUCUGUAACUUGAAACCGGAAAAUGUGACUUUGUAGAUAUGUUGUUCGAUUUGGAAUCUAUGUUCUAUUUAUUGUCAGCUA